AGUUCUUAUAAGUAUAUUCUUUUUUUAAUAAGUAUGGCAUAUGAAUAGUACAUUCUACUAGGAAUGUGAUUUAAAGGUAUGUUAUCAGCAUGACCUUAGAAUGUCUUCUUAAAUUAUGGUUUACAAUAAAUUUUAAGUAUCUGCUAUUCACGUUCUAAACAUAUCAAUAUCUGAAUAAAAAUACAGGAGAAUAAAAAUGAUUUCGAAAUGAAAAAAUGAAUACAAUACAUUAUAUUUGUAUAUUUUCUUACUAUCAGUUACUAUUAAGUUUUUGUGUAUUAAAUAAUUAGGGAUUUUAUAUAUUAGUGUAUAUAGAUGCCCUGUAAACAAAUAUUCAAGCAAAAAUACAGUGUUUCUUAUUCUAACAAAUAAAUAAACCUGUAAAACUGUAUAAAUAAAAACGAUCUUCCAUUAUGAAAUAAAAAGAUCGAUUAUACCAAAAGAUAAUUUGAUAAAACUCGAUAGAUUUUAAUCGAUUUUUUGGGUAAAAAGAUCGAUCUUCGACUGAAAUCGAUUCGAAUCGUACAUCCAUAACAUAACCUAAUAAAAAAACCAGUGAACUAUAAACGUAAACGUGCUUCAUCCAAACUAUUUUAAUAAUUAAAACACUGAGAUAACGUAAAGAUAAGUGAUGCAAAUAAUUAUUUUAAGGAUAGAAUCGGUAAAAUAGUUCUUGUUAUGUUUGUGUUUUCAGUAUCUAUUUUAAGGUGAGUGAAUUUAAAACCAUGAGACCUCGAAAAAAAAUAGGUUAUACUAAAAAAUAUUUUAAAAUUCAACCAAAAUAAAAGGAGCCAAAAUCUUAUUAAGUCAAUGUUACGCAAAUAUGACUUCAAUAUUGUACAUUAAACUGGAUUCAGACCAAAGUGAUUUUUUAUUAUCCUCUGUACAUCAUCAAAGUAGUAGUAUCUCUGGUAGUAUCAUUGAAGAUUUCUGUUCUGAUAAGUGUAGUUCCAGUGCUGAAAUUUCUUACAAUAUAGUAUUUAUAUAGGUAUUUAUAAUUAUUAGGUUCGAGAAUUAUCUAGACUUGGUGGUUCAGGAGUAGCACAAAGUACAAGGAAAAUGCUUUAUAAGGUUCUGGGCAAUGAAAUUGCACAAAAAUAUUCUUGGGAUGGGGCCAAACAGAAGAGAAGUUUGAAAUCAUUGUUAGUGGCCAAAAGCAAUUUUAGACUCCAUGAAAGGUCAAUUUCAAGAGUCAAAAGAAACCGAAAUUAUCAAUAUAAUUAAAAUAUGGCUUGUAAAAACAAAAGAAAGAUUAAUAAUCCAAGAAGGGUAGACAAGAGAAUAUAGAAACAUAGACAUAGAAGAUAAUAUCAAUGUAUAUCGUUAUAUUAAAAUAUUUUUAAUUAAUAAACAUAUAUUACUCAAGUUCGUCUUUAUCCUUACCUAUUAUUUUUAACCGUUCUAUUUAUUAGUUAAUUUUUGAUUAUUACACACCAAAUUAUUUAAUUUCAGCAAAUUGUUUGUAGUGUGUUCCAGAUAUGAAUGUACUGUAUAGGUAUCCUAUAGAUUUUAAGAGAUAAAAAAAUUGCUAAAUAUGAAAAAAAUUGUAUCUAUAUCUAUAGUUUAUAGGAUAUUGAUACAGGGCAUCCUUAUACAGGACACCCAGUAGAUACAGAGUUGAGGGUUGGAAUCUUUGGUGUUACAACAGCAAAUUAAAACACUAAUUCACCACAAUAUACCAAAACACUUUACUUUUGAAC
rnacentral:lncRNA from 1 species